rnacentral:rRNA from 1 species
UACAGAGGGUGCGAGCGUUGUCCGGAAUCACUGGGCGUAAAGGGCGCGUAGGUGGCGGCCCAAGUCCAUGGUGAAAGCUCGAUGCUCAACAUCGAGUCGGCCACGGAUACUGGGUUGCUCGAGCACUGUAGGGGCAAAUGGAAUUCCUGGUGUAGCGGUGGAAUGCGCAGAUAUCAGGAGGAACACCGGUGGCGAAGGCGGGUCUCUGGGCAGUAACUGACGCUGAGGAGCGAAAGCGUGGGGAGCGAACAGG